rnacentral:rRNA from 1 species
UACAGAGGUCUCAAGCGUUGUUCGGAUUCAUUGGGCGUAAAGGGUGCGUAGGCGGCGCGGUAAGUCGGGUGUGAAAUCUCGGGGCUUAACUCCGAAACUGCAUUCGAUACUGCCGUGCUUGAGGACUGGAGAGGAGACUGGAAUUUACGGUGUAGCGGUGAAAUGCGUAGAUAUCUGGAGGAACACCGGUGGCGAAGGCGGCAUCCUGGACCGGCAUUGACGCUGAGACGCGAAAGCGUGGGGAGCAAACAGG